AUGGUUUUCUUGUGCACAAUUAAACGUCCAAAAAUUCAUGUCGUAUUUGAAAUGGCAUCAUGUUAUUCAUGUGUUUUAGAAUUCCUGCAAAUCAUCAAAGAGGUAGUAAACUGUUAUCGUCCAGCUAUCGAGCCAUUUGUGUGCACUGAGGAAGCUAUUUGUACCUCUGGCCACAAUAAUUACUCCAUCCAUUUUAUCCGUUCCACUUCAAAAUAUAGGACAUUUUGUUUUGUUAACACAGGUGUUUUGCCAGAAUUAACAAAAUAUUUGAAGUGGGGGGAUUAUGUUUUAACACCCCAGAAUCAACGAAGAAACGACACAAGUAGAGGUGCAGUUUUUGAAACAGAAUCUCAAUAA
rnacentral:rRNA from 1 species